CCUGACGACCAUAGCAAGCGUGAACCACCUGAUCCCUUGCCGAACUCAGUAGUGAAACCGCUUCGCGCCGAUGGUAGUGUGGGGUCUCCCCAUGCGAGAGUAGGUCAUCGUCAGGC
rnacentral:rRNA from 1 species